UGAAGCUGAGUGAUAAAGCACUUGCCUGGCAUGUAUGAAGCCCUGGGUUCCAUUCCCAGCA
rnacentral:tRNA from 1 species